UAACAUUGCCCCUUUUUGCUUGCCAUUUUUAAAAAUACCCCUUAAUUAAUUCAAAUAUGACCAAAGUACCCUUGCUUUCAUAACCUAAGAUCUGCACGGUUCUCUCAACCAUUCUCUCUCUUUCUCUCAUUUCGAUCGGCGACGAUUUUCCGAUCUCGAUUCCGAUAUCUCGAUUCCGAUAUCAAAUCGGCGUCUCCUUUCGAUUUCGCUUUCUAUCGGUGCGUCUCCGUCUCCGUCUGUGUUUUAUUUCGAUCUGUCCCACAUCGAUUCCAGAUGUCUAACAAUGACUCAUUGGAUGUGCUUAACCUACCGCCCCGUAUAUAUAAUCCCGGGUUUGAACCAAACAUUGGAGCUGUUGUUAUUCAACAUUUCGAAACGCAUUUGGUCAAAAAAGUUGAGCUCGCACUAGGGGAGGAACAGUUUAAUCUAAUUAAAGCCUCUUUCCUUGGUCCUAUUAUUGAACUAGCAAAAAGAAGUGGAGUUAAUUUUUC